rnacentral:rRNA from 1 species
UACGUAGGGGUCGAGCGUUGUCCGGAGUUACUGGGCGUAAAGCGUGUGCAGGCGGCGCAUCGCGCCCGGCGUGAAAGCCCCCGGCUCAACCGGGGAGGGUCGUCGGGGACGGGUGCGCUUGAGGGUAUCAGGGGCAGGUAGAAUUCCCGGUGUAGUGGUGAAAUGCGUAGAGAUCGGGAGGAAUACCCGUGGCGAAGGCGGCCUGCUGGGAUACACCUGACGCUGGGACACGAAGGCGUGGGGAGCGAACGGG